rnacentral:rRNA from 1 species
CCCGCUGAACUUAAGCAUAUCAAUAAGCGGAGGAAAAGAAACUAACAAGGAUUCCCCUAGUAACUGCGAGUGAAGCGGGAAAAGCUCAAAUUUAAAAUCUGGCGGUCUUUUGGCCAUCCGAGUUGUAAUUUAGAGAAGCGUCUUCCGCGCUGGACCGUACACAAGUCUCCUGGAACGGAGCGUCAUAGAGGGUGAGAAUCCCAUCUUUGGUACGGACCCCCGGUGCUUCUGUGAUGCGCUCUCGAAGAGUCGAGUUGUUUGGGAAUGCAGCUCAAAAUGGGUGGUGAACUCCAUCUAAAGCUAAAUAUUGGCGAGAGACCGAUAGCGAACAAGUACCGUGAGGGAAAGAUGAAAAGCACUUUGGAAAGAGAGUGAAACAGUACGUGAAAUUGUUGAAAGGGAAACGCUUCAAGUCAGUCGCGUCUGCCGAGACUCAGCCUCGCUCCGGCUUGGUGUAUUUCUCGGUACGACGGGUCAGCAUCAAUUUUGUCCCUCGGAUAAUGGCAAGGGAAAGGUGGCACCUUUGCGGGUGUGUUAUAGUCUUUUGUCGCAUGCGAGGGGUGAGAUUGAGGAACUCAGCAUGCGCGCCCUUCUGGGGUGUGUCGGGGCCUCGGCCCACGCCACGUGCUUAGGAUGCUGGCGUAAUGGCUUUAAACGACCCGUCUUGAAACACGG